rnacentral:rRNA from 1 species
UUGAACGCUGGCGGCAUGCUUUACACCUGCAAGUCGAACGGCAGCGCGGGCUUCGGCCUGGCGGCGAGUGGCGAACGGGUGAGUAAUACAUCGGAACGUGCCCAGUAGUGGGGGAUAGCUCGGCGAAAGCCGGAUUAAUACCGCAUACGACCUGAGGGUGAAAGCGGGGGAUCUUCGGACCUCGCGCUAUUGGAGCGGCCGAUGGCAGAUUAGCUAGUUGGUGGGGUAAAGGCCUACCAAGGCGACGACCUGUAGCUGGUCUGAGAGGACGACCAGCCACACUGGGACUGAGACACGGCCCAGACUCCUACGGGAGGCAGCAGUGGGGAAUUUUGGACAAUGGGCGAAAGCCUGAUCCAGCAAUGCCGCGUGUGUGAUGAAGGCCUUCGGGUUGUAAAGCACUUUUGGCGGGAACGAAAAGGACUGUGCCAAUACCACGGUUCGAUGACGGUACCCGCAGAAUAAGCACCGGCUAACUACGUG